AUUGAACGCUGGCGGCAGGCCUAACACAUGCAAGUCGAACGAGUGGCGGACGGGUUAGUAAUGUCUGUGAAACUGCCUGAUGGAGGGGGCUAACUACUGGAAACGGUAGCUACUACCGCAUACCAUCAGAUGUGCCCAGAUCGGAUUAGCUAUUUGGUGGGGUAACGGCUCACCAAGGCGACGAUCCCUAGCUGGUCUGAGAGGAUGACCAGCCAAACUGGAACUGAGACACGGUCCAGACUCCUACGGGAGGCAGCAGUGGGGAAUAUUGGAAAAUGGGCGAAAGCCUGAUGCAGCCAUGCAGCGUGUAUGAAGAAGGCCUUCGGGUUGUAAAGUACUUUAAGCGGGGAGGCGUGACCAGCAGAAGAAGCACAGGCUAACUCCGUGCCAGCAGCCGCGGUAAUAC
rnacentral:rRNA from 1 species